GAUGAACGCUGGCGGCGUGCCUCAAACAUGCAAGUCGAGCGGGGCUAUGUAAUAUCGCAAGGUAGAACAUAGCCUAGCGGCGAACGGGGUGAGUAACACGUGGGUAACCUGCCUGGAAGACAGGGAUAACGAUUCGAAAGGGUCGCUAAUACCUGAUAAUAUCCUUUCAUCGCAUGGUGAUAGGAAGAAAGGGGAAACCCGCUUUCAGAUGGGCCCGCGUCCCAUCAGCUAGUUGGUAAGGUAAAGGCUUACCAAGGCGACGACGGGUAGCCGGUCUGAGAGGAUGUACGGCCACACUGGGACUGAGAUACGGCCCAGACUCCGUACGGGAGGCAGCAGGUUGGGAAUCUUAGGCAAUGGACGAAAGUCUGACCUAGCGACGCCGCGUGAGGGAAGAAGGCCUUCGGGUUGUAAACCUCUGUCAUGGGGGAAGAAGUAAGUGACGGUACCCCAAGAGGAAGCCCCUGCUAACUACGUGCCAGCAGCGGCGGUAAUAGUACUCUAU
rnacentral:rRNA from 1 species